rnacentral:rRNA from 1 species
GACGAACGCUGGCGGCGUGCUUAACACAUGCAAGUCGAGCGGUAAGGCCCUUUCGGGGGUACACGAGCGGCGAACGGGUGAGUAACACGUGGGUGACCUGCCUUUAGUCUCUGGGAUAAGCCUGGGAAACUGGGUCUAAUACCGGAUAUGACCCUAUGGCGCAUGUUGUGGGGUGGAAAGCCUUGUGCGGCUAGGGAUGGGCCCGCGGCCUAUCAGCUUGUUGGUGGGGUGAUGGCCUACCAAGGCGACGACGGGUAGCCGGCCUGAGAGGGCGACCGGCCACACUGGGACUGAGACACGGCCCAGACUCCUACGGGAGGCAGCAGUGGGGAAUCUUGCGCAAUGGGCGAAAGCCUGACGCAGCGACGCCGCGUGA